GGGAUUCGCUAGCGGCGCCCUCUAGUGGCGUUUCGCGGAGCCUUGGCGGAAACCCUACUGGGAGCCGGUGUGUCCCCCAGUAACAUUUGCAAAUGAAAGAAGGGAUGGGAUCUUGCUAAGUUGCCUAGGCUAGCCUCGAACUCCUGGCUUCAAGCACUCCUCCUGCCUCAGCCUCCCAAAGUGCUGGGAUGACAGGUGUGAGCUGCCAUGCCUGGCCGUUACAACUGUCUUGUGAAGCACUCAUGAAAGGUGGCCGGGUACCACUGUAUCAAUGGCCCAGUUGCCCAUCUCCUGGCGAGAGAUUUCCCUAAGUGACCUGGAAGUGUCACUAUUACCACCGCCCCACAUGAAUCUUGUGCUGGAGGCGACUAGAGCUGUGUGUCCCUCAGCAGAAGCAGGUGGCAUAAGCAAGAGUUCCAUUUUGGUUUCAUUUUCAGAGGACCCCAAUUGCGCAGUCUGCAAGAAAUAAUGUGCCUCUCAGGAUGGUUCCAAGCUGAGCCCAAAUCACUGAGGGAGAUUCACUGCUUGCUAACAUGAACUUUAUUCCUGGAUAAACAAGUCCCAAACCGUCUUGUCCAUAUGCCACCACGGUCAGGUCAAAACACACAUUAUCAGCUGGGUGCGGUGGCUCACGCUUGUAAUCCCAGCACUUCGGGAGGCCGAGGUGGGCGGAUCACUUGAGGUCAGGAGUUGGAGAUCAGCCUGGCCAACAUGGUGAAACCCCGUCUCUACUAAAAAUACAAAAAUUAGCCGGGCGUGGUGGUACGUGUCUGUAGUCCCAGGUACUCAGAAGGCUGAAGACAUGAGAAUCGCUUGAACCCAGGGGGCGGAGGUUGCUGAGCUGAGAUCAUGCCACUGCACUCGAGCCUGGACAACAGAGUGAGAUCCUAUGCCAAAAACAAACAAUAAAAACCAACAACAAAAAA
rnacentral:lncRNA from 1 species